rnacentral:sRNA from 1 species
ACCUUCUCCCCGCAAGCGGGGCGAAGGGGAAUCGCGGCUGCUGUCUUGCUCCGAUUUGAUGUAGGGCGAGCGCUCGCGGCUUGUCCCUUCUCCCCGUUAAAACGGGGAGAAGGUGGCCGGC